UAUUCUCAACUCUGACUUGUUUCAGACAAGUCGGUGUUGGAUGUGGAGGUCUGCCGGUGCCCGUCAUCGGCUCCUCUGAAAUGCAUUAGUAUGGACGUUUAUCUGGCGUUCCUUCAGUGUGAUAAUUGUCUACGCUGUGGGCGCCGGGUUUUGCAAAGUCUAUGCUUCGAACUGUCCCUUGGGACAACUUUUGAC
rnacentral:misc_RNA from 1 species